GACGUAGGGCGCGAGCGUUGUCCGGAUUUAUUGGGCGUAAAGAGCUUGUAGGCGGUUUGUCGCGUCUGCUGUGAAAUCUCAAGGCUCAACCUUGAGCUUGCAGUGGGUACGGGCAGACUAGAGUGUGGUAGGGGAGACUGGAAUUCCUGGUGUAGCGGUGAAAUGCGCAGAUAUCAGGAGGAACACCGGUGGCGAAGGCGGAUCUCUGGGCCUGUUCUGACGCUGAGGCGCGAAAGCUAGGGGAGCGAACAGG
rnacentral:rRNA from 1 species